rnacentral:lncRNA from 1 species
UUUCUUCGCUUCUAUGCUUGAAAUAACACACAUUAGGUACAGCUGUCACUGUGAGAAAACAUAGAAAUGUAAACGCCCUUUCUACAUGUGAACUGUGCUAAGGACCUUUGAAGUUGUGCUCCUUCUUCCCAAUAUGACAUCUGGGUUAAGAAGAAGCUUACUUUAUAUGGCAAAUGUUUUCCUCUUCCAAGGCUCAGUUUCUUCAACUGUGGAUUAACGAUGUUGCUCAAGAAGGGGGACAGGAGUGAAGUGUCCAGGCUCAUCAACAGUCUGUGUGCAAAGUUACAGAAAAUUUCUUCUCACAGCCUUUGAGAGAGAAAAUUCUAUGGGCUCGUCCCAAGUGGAUCUUUCAGAAAGCCCUUC